AUGUUAGGCGGAGCUGGGCGCGCGCGGCUGCUCCUGCUCGCUGUGCGGCUGCCGCGCUCCCUGCGCGCUGAUGGCGACCUGCGGCUGCUAUGGGCCGAGGGGCAGGGGCGACGCCCAGAACGGUGGCUGACUGAUACGGCGGUGUGGGUGACUCGAGUGGAAUUGGUGAGGAGCUGGCUUACCAGUUGUCCCAACUAGGAGUUUUUCUUGUGCUGUCGGCCAGAAGAGUACAUGAGCUGGAAAGGGUGAAGAGAAGAUGCCUAGAGAAUAGCAAUUUAAAAGAAAAAGAUAUACUUGUUUUGCCCCUUGACCUGACCGACACGGGUUCCCAUGAAGCGGCUACUAAAGCUGUUCUCCAGGAGUUUGGUAGAAUCGACAUUUUGGUCAACAAUGGUGGAGUAUCCCAGCGUUCUCUGUGCAUGGAUACCAGCUUGGAUAUCCUGCAGAAAGCUAAUAGAGCUUAACUACUUAGGGACGGUGUCCUUGACAAAGUGUGUUCUGCUGACGUGAUGGAGAGGAAGCAAGGAAAGAUUGCCACUAUGAAUUGCCUCCGAGGUAUCAUGGCUGCACCUGUUUCCAGUGGAUUGUGCCAGCGAGCAUGCUCUUCGGGGUUUUUUUAAAUGGCCCUCGAACGGAACUUGCCACAUACCCAGGUAUAAUAGCGUCUAACAUUUGCCCGGGACCUGUGCAAUCAAAUAUUGCGGCGAAUUCCCUAGCUGGAGAAGUCACAGAGACCAUAGGCAAUGGUGAUCAAUCCUACAAGAUGGCAACCAGUCGUUGUAUGUGGCUGAUGUUAAUCAGCAUGGCUAAUGAUGUGAAAGAAGUUUGGAUCUCAGAACAUCCUUUCUUGGUAGUAGCAUAUUUGUGGCAAUACAUGCCAACUUAGGCCUGGUGGAUAACCAACAAGAUGGGGAAGAAAAGGUUUGAGAACUUUAAGAGUGGUGUGGAUGCAGACUCUUCUUAUUUUAAUAUCCUUAAGAGAAAACAUGACUGAAAAGAACACCUGUACUUUAAGUCAC